AAGUUAAUGAAAAACAAAAUUGUAUGUGAUAUUAAUAAUAUUUCUAAUAUUUUUGUUGUAUCUGUAGGUACAAGGAGUGGAAGAACGAGUUGCGGACCCACUGGACUACGCACGGGAACGCACGUUCUGGUACCCCUGUUGAGUUCCAGUACAGGGAGUACGAGUGGCGUUGGCUUCUGACAUCAGAAUUCAACAACCCUCGUAAACAGGUAUUUAAAAAAAUUAAUUAGUUAAUUUGUCAUUAAGUACGUCCGUUUUUAAAUAUUUUACUAAUAAUUUAUUUUUUUCUUUGAAGGCCGUUUCCCGAGCGAACUCUCAGAACCGGCAACGCAACACAAGGAACCAUCAUGGCGGUUCUAGACCGUUCGCUGUCUUCAUGGACGAGGCGGCCAGAGAACAUCCAGAAGUCAACCGGUACGUCUAUACGUACGAGAAGGCAUAUCCUGACUCCCAAGAGGAUAUUGUAAGUCAUCUUACGUUUUUAAAUUUUUAAAUUUACUUAUAUAUAUAUGUCAAAAUGUUAAUUAAUAAUUUUUUCCUAUCCAUAUAGGCGAAGGUGAGGGAGGCUAGUGACGAGGUGAUGAGUGCUAUAGUGAGGGAGACAUGGCCGGACACGCAGGAGGAAGAGAUGUCCGAAGCCAUGUCCCGGAUCGACACUUCGGAUCUGACGAUUGGGGCGAGGAUCAUGGGCAUAGCUUUCCCACCAAGAGCAAACAACUUCUACUGCCGGGGUCUAGGAAAGAAAGGCGAGGGGGUCCUAAAGACCACUCCAGGAUUUCAACGAAAGGCAGCCUCGACCAGCAGCAGGACCACGUCCACGACCACCAGGACAACUCAGCUAGAGUCGGAAGUUCAGAGACUACGAGAACAGCAAGCUGCUCAGGCUGCCUAUAAUGCCUCGCAGACAGCCUAUAAUACCGCGCAGGCAGCCUAUGUUGCCGAGAUACAUGCCAUCCAGCAGGCCCAGCAGCAGCAGAUGUUCCAGUACAUGCAGGACUUUACAGCUGCCCAGCUUCAGGGACUUCCGGCUCCGCCCAUGCCUACGGCUAUACCGCUACCCCAGCCGCAGCAACCUUCGCAGCAGCCCCCAGAAGCGGAUAUUAAUUUAGACGAUUUAGAUUUUGUGUAGUUGAUGAAUUAUAUAGUUUUAUGUGCUUGUUGUUGGUUAUAUGGAAUUGUUUUCGUGUAUUUUGCAGCUUGCUUGGAA
rnacentral:lncRNA from 1 species